CAGUAGCCACGGGAAUACGGAGGGAGCUAGCGUUGUUCGGAAUUACUGGGCGUAAAGCGCACGUAGGCGGCUUUGUAAGUCAGAGGUGAAAGCCUGGAGCUCAACUCCAGAACUGCCUUUGAGACUGCAUCGCUCGAAUCCGGGAGAGGUGAGUGGAAUUCCGAGUGUAGAGGUGAAAUUCGUAGAUAUUCGGAAGAACACCAGUGGCGAAGGCGGCUCACUGGACCGGUAUUGACGCUGAGGUGCGAAAGCGUGGGGAGCAAACAGGAUUAGAUACCCCAGUAGUCCCUGUCUCUUAUAC
rnacentral:rRNA from 1 species